rnacentral:lncRNA from 1 species
UCCAAUGGAUGGUUAUAUUGAAUUUUGACCUUAUGAGCACCUCCUUCUUCCCGCUUGAAACCUAAACUGGCACGAAGGGAUAUAUUUCAAUAUACUUCUUUGAUUCUUGAACGGAUUAUUUUUACACAUUUCAUUCGAUCUUACAGAGUUAUAGAUACCUCCAAUCCAUUCAUCGAAUGGUUAGAUUGAAUUUUGACCUCAUAGAUACUUCUUUCUCUUAUUUGAAGUCUAAAUCAGCACGGAGAGGUAUAUUUCGAUGUCCUCCUUUAAUUUUCGAAUGGAUUAUUCUUAUAUGUUUCAUUC